UGAGGUGUUAAUAGAUCCAAAAACAUGGUAAGCUUAGCUGAAUCUGACGCCCUAACAGACCACCUAGCACAUUCAGGACCGGAAAUGAAACUGCAGCCAAAAGGCAUUAAGGAUGGAGCCAUACCAACUUGAAAAUCUGAAUAUCUAACUCUGUUUACAGAAUGAUUAGGAUGUUACUCAGGUCGUAAAGUCAGAAAAGUGUGGAAUGGGAGUGACUUUGGCCCUGUGUUGUGUCUAUCAAUUCCAACAUCAUUACAAUUGAAGAUCUGGCCACCUAAAAUUUCAUGAUGAACUUGAAAGCCCCCCAGCACUAGUUUGGAAGCUUUAAGUUCUAACAGAAAAUUCUGUACGAAUCAAAAGGGUUUCUUGUAGUUGGUCUAGCAUGACAUUAAUAACUGGAAGAAUUAACUUCAUCCAAUUUAUUGGCAAUCUCUCACGUCCUGAAUCUUCUGAGGAACCUGGUUUCUGGAUUAGCUUCAGUUCUGAGUGUCUCUUCCAUCAAAUUUUCCUGGAGAAUCAAACUGAACAAAGCUCUUAUCAUGGUGCCACAUAGAUGUGGGAGAUCCUAAAUUGGAAAAAGUUCCACUUAACUGUGACCUAAUAAGGUUACUAGCUUUUGGUCCUUCUCCCUGUAUGGUCAUUGGAUGAUCUGUGAAAGCCUCGCCUCUCACUGGCAUAAAUUUCAUAUUAUUCCUCCGGGUG
rnacentral:lncRNA from 1 species